rnacentral:rRNA from 1 species
GACGAACGCUGGCGGCGUGCUUAACACAUGCAAGUCGUGCGGUAAGGCCCUUUCUGGGGUACACUAGCGGCGAACGCGUGCGUAACACGUGAGCAACCUGCCCUUCACUUUGCGAUAACUGCCGGAAACAGUGGCUAAUACCGGAGAUGACUUCCUCACUCAUUUGGGUGGUUGGAAAGCCUUCUGGGGGUGGGGGAUGGGCUCGCGCUCUAUCAGCUUGUUGGUGGGGAGAUGGCCUACCAAGGCUUAGAGGGGUAGCCGGCCUGAGAGGGUGACCGGCCACACUGGGACUGAGACACGGCCCAGACUCCUACGGGAGGCAGCAGUGGGGAAUAUUGGACAAUGGGCGAAAGCCUGAUCCAGCAACGCCGGGUGAGGGAGGACGGCCUUGGGGUUGUAAACCUCUUUCGCCGGCGACGAAGCGAGAGUGACGGUAGCAGGUAAAGAAGCACCGGCCAACUACGUG